rnacentral:rRNA from 1 species
UUUAUCGGAGAGUUUGAUCCUGGCUCAGGACGAACGCUGGCGGCGUGCCUAAUACAUGCAAGUCGAGCGAACAGAUGGGAGCUUGCUCCCUGAUGUUAGCGGCGGACGGGUGAGUAACACGUGGGUAACCUGCCUGUAAGACUGGGAUAACUCCGGGAAACCGGGGCUA